GGCAAAAGCAAAAACAAGCGCAGAUAAGACAAGAUGCCAGGCUAGCUGGCAGGCGUUGUAAACAGCAGUCGCAACAACACGGAAAAGCCGGCAGCAGUAAGUUCAACAAUAACAAUAGCACACGGCCACACAACAGCUACACAUGCUGCACAUUUGCUGUUUUCCGUUAUAGUUUUGUUUUCGGUGAAAAAUAAAUAAGUGGAUUUACUGCUGACUGGUUUGGGUGUUUGAGCAACAAAGUGAGCAUGCAGUCGCCGCCACAAUUCUAAAAGCGUCACAACAAUAGCACAACGCGCACUGGAGGGCUGCUGAUUCUGAUGAAGGGAGCUUAGCGAUACGUGGGUGGCUGCCGCAUCUAUAUAUAUACUGAGCAAGUGCAUAUUUGGCCAGCAGUGGGCGUAGGGGCGGCAUGUAUCUCUGCGCGGUUGGUUUUGGUGUUUCGGUUUUGCUGUUGGCAGCAUUUAUGCCAACAAAAAGUACCCGCGACUGUAUUUAAUUGCUUUUGAGACAUUUUCAAAAGGUCAACAACGCCAACGCAAUGUUUUGGGAUGCCGCAGGAAAGGAAAUAAGCCAAGAGGACUAACCAAGAGAGGGAACGCGGCUGUUAGCUAAGCUGCUGCCAUCUUAAUGAUGCAAGAAAAACAAGCAAAAAAGUGGCAAAAGGUACCCAAAGUUUUGCAAAGGUCAAACAGCAGCAGAUAUAUAUAUACUAUGCAUACAUAUAUAUAUAAAUAGCAGCGCAUCCCCAGACACGUACUAAAUACUUCGAACAGCACACCACUAAAGCACACAAAACUCAGUGUUUAUGAAGUCACGCCGCGUCCGCGACAUGCGAACCAACAAAAAACUCGAGUGUGAAAAAUGUACGAUUUUAUAUUACACUUGAUGUCAUCAACGCAAAGUGUGUGCCAGACAAUUUCGCCACAGAUUUAUUAGAUCCGUUUGCCGCGCCGGCUUGCCAGAGAAGCUGUUUGCUGUGCGCUGCGUUGGUUGUGUCACGCAAUUUUCGACGGUGCUCCUUUGAAGCCAGCCAGCCAACCCGUGCGCCGCGGGUCAAGCGCGUCUGUGCCAACUAAAUAAUCACUAUUCGUUGGGCGCACGCAUUUGUUGUGACGUCACACGCAUUAACAGCAGGCAGAAGCUCAUUGACACACUCACACACGCGCAGCGUCCGUUGGAUGCCUGCAAACAAAUCGCUGACGUCAGUGAAGCGCAUAUUGCGCCCCAAAGGCAACUGCGGCUAAAGCCCGCAUUUGUCGCAAGGCAAAACACACAGCAAAUAAGAAGCAGCAACAGCAGCAGCAGCAUAUUAGCAAAAAGUACGAAAAAAACGGUAAAAGGCACACUCAGCAUGUCAUAAAAAGCCUGAAUGCUUGAGUGCCUCAAGGCAGUGAAAUGGCUGGUGUAAAAGUUGUUCAAAUGUGUCAACGACAAUGCGCUUGACACACGCCAAAAAUACAAAACAAAACAAAAACAAUAAAAAAAUACACGCUUUUGACACCAAAAUGUAGGAAUUUUAAUGUUUUGUGCUAGAAUUGUGCUAAAAGGCUGCAGGAAAAAUGAGGCCAAAUGUUUACGGAUGGAAUGGCAUGGAAAGGCUUUGGUUGGCUCUGUGAAAUCAGUGAAAGCGCUUAGAAACUUUAAUCUUGCACGACGAAGACAAAUGAAAAGUCGAAAUCUUGAAGACUGUUCUAAUGGCCGGCGAUGACCAACAUAUUCUAAGAUUUAAAAGAUAUGAUCUCUAUCUUUGGAGCCUACUGGUCCCUACAAGCCGAACUCUAUGUAGAGGUAUAGAUUUGGUUUCAUGCGCCCAACUUCUGGCUUCCAAAGUCACUCGCUGGUCAAAAAUUUGCAUCAAAUGAGUCGAUAAUUGCUGCUAUGAAGGCCUUCUUUGCAAACCUCCAAGGACAGUAUUUUGUAAAUAGUUACAAAAAAUUGAAGGUGAAAACAGACUAUAUUGAGAAAUACAUUUUCUAAUACUUAUAGCCUUCUUGCGAAAGCAAAUUUUUCUA
rnacentral:lncRNA from 1 species